AUUGAACGCUGGCGGCAGGCCUAACACAUGCAAGUCGAAUGGUAACAGGAAACAGCUUGCUGUUUCGCUGACGAGUGGCGGACGGGUGAGUAAUGUCUGGGAAACUGCCUGAUGGAGGGGGAUAACUACUGGAAACGGUAGCUAAUACCGCAUAACGUCGCAAGACCAAAGAGGGGGACCUUCGGGCCUCUUGCCAUCAGAUGUGCCCAGAUGGGAUUAGCUAGUAGGUGGGGUAACGGCUCACCUAGGCGACGAUCCCUAGCUGGUCUGAGAGGAUGACCAGCCACACUGGAACUGAGACACGGUCCAGACGCCUACGGGAGGCAGCAGUGGGGAAUAUUGCACAAUGGGCGGAAGCCUGAUGCAGCCAUGCCACGUGUAUGAAGAAGGCCUUCGGGUUGUAAAGUACUUUCAGCGGGGAGGAAGGGAGUAAGGUUAAUACCUUUGCUCAUUGACGUUACCCGCAGAAGAAGCACCGGCUAACUCCGUG
rnacentral:rRNA from 1 species